CCUACGGGAGGCAGCAGUGAGGAAUAUUGGUCAAUGGGCGAGAGCCUGAACCAGCCAAGUAGCGUGAAGGAUGACUGCCCUAUGGGUUGUAAACUUCUUUUAUAAAGGAAUAAAGUGAGGCACGUGUGCCUUUUUGCAUGUACUUUAUGCAUAAGGAUCGGCUAACUCCGUGCCAGCAGCCGCGGUAAUACGGAGGAUCCGAGCGUUAUCCGGAUUUAUUGGGUUUAAAGGGAGCGUAGAUGGGUUGUUAAGUAAGUUGUGAAAGUUUGCGGCUCAACCGUAAAAUUGCAAUUGAUACUGGCAGCAUUGAGUACAGUUGAGGUAGGCGGAAUUCGUGGUGUAGCGGUGAAUUGCAUAGAUAUCACACAGAACACCGAUUGCGAAGGCAGCUCACGAAUCCGCGAUUGACGUUGAUGCACGAAAGCGUGGGUAUCAAACAGGAUUAGAUACCCCGGUAGUC
rnacentral:rRNA from 1 species